rnacentral:misc_RNA from 1 species
GUCAUCGUUGGUUUAUCUCUCCUGUUUUUGUUGUGGUUGCUUUCCUUUAUUUUGGGGUUUGUGAAUUCUAUUUGGCGAGAUUUGAGUCCAGCUGGGCUGCAAAUCUCUGUUGGUUGUUUCAGUUGAUUGUUGGCUGAUUCUGUUGGCAGGAGGCGUCAUAGUAGUGAUGUCGUCUGAGUUGAUUGUCGAUGGAGCAGUUUUUGGAUUAACUCAAUUAGUUCUAGGGUUUUCAUGUUUUGAUGUUGUGCUCCUUAUUUGAUAGGUUUGAGUGAGAGUUACAGUAGCAUUUUUAUGUGUAUUGGGUUCAUGACCUUGUAAUGCUUUAU